rnacentral:lncRNA from 10 species
AAUAUUUACUAACUGGAGUAGAAUGUAUGAAAGAAACAAUCUAUCCCAAACUCAGUUUACUACAAUUUAAAAAGGUAGAACACAUAACUACAUAAAUGGACUCCACUAACUCACUGUGAGUUUUCCUCUUUCUUUUGUCAAUACCAAGCCUGACUCACCUUUGAUGAAGUUGCAUUAGAUGACUUUCAAUUCUGUCAUUCGCCUAUUUAACAUUGUUUAUUGUUAUCUAUGGGGCUGGUCAGUAUUCUACUCACCUUUACCCUGUUCCCUUUUUUGAUCUGCAUAGUGGCUUUUUUAAGCCUUUCCCUUUCUUCUCAAGCUGCCCCAUCCCUCUCUCCUCUGGCUAUUGAUGGCUGUACCUUCUACUUUUACAUUCAUUCAUCUGGAGAUGGAGGAGUAAAAUGUUUAGAGAACUCAUGGCUAAUAUCUCUUAACAUUUUACUCCUCCAUCUCUAAAUUUACAUUUCCCUUCUUUUACUCUUCUUCUCCUUCUCCUUCUUCUCUUCUCUCUUAUUCUUCUCCUUCUCCUCCUUCUUCUUUUUUUCUUUUUUUCCAGACACAGUCUUGUCUUCCUCUGUCACCCAGGCUGGACUGCAGUGGCAUGAUCGUAGCUCACUGCAACCCUGAACUCCCAGGCUCAACCAAUCCUCCUACCUCUCCAGAGUAGCUGGGACUAAAGGCAUGUGCCACCAUGCCCAGCUAUUUUUUUGGAUUUUUAGUAAGGACAAGGUCUCACUAUGUUGCCAAGGCAGGUCUUCUUUGUCCUUCCUAAAGAAUACAGUUCUGGUAUUUACUACUUUUCCAAGGAUAGCCUCCUUACUUUGGCUCAUGAUCAUGUUUUUGUCAGCAACUACAGCUCCAUCUUUAAACCCUCUUUCCCCUUGAAUUUUUAGUCUCUUUCUAUCUCCUGGAGCCUUCCCUCAGCUCAAGUAACCUGAAUUCAAAAAAAUUCCGCUUGAACCUAAUUCUCUGUCAGGCAGCCUUAGUUCUUUCUUCCUACUCCACCCAUCAGCCUUUUAAAGAGAUGCCUGCAUUUGCUCACAUUUCCACUUUCAAUUCACUCCUUAACCCAGGGGCUCCUAAUGCUAUUACCUGAAUACAACGCACCACUCAACUGUCAUUCAAAAACCUAGUAAUUAUAGAAGGUAACUGUUCUAUUUCUCCUGGUCCUCUGGACUGUUAUUUCUGUUUGCUGUCCCAGUACUUUAACUGUUGUCUUGUUUCCCCUAGCCUUAUCAUGUACAAACCAAUUCAUCACCUGUUAUCUGUCAUGUUUUCUACUCUCUGCCCUUUGUUCCUCAUCACCAUGUACGUACAUCACCAUGUACGUACUCAUUCAUGGACAAAAAUCAGCACUCUCUUUGAUUCUCCUUCUCCACUGGCUGUCCCCCAACAUACAUACAUACUUCACACACACACACACACACACACACACACACACACACACACACACAACCAUUCUAUAAGCCUCUUGCAUCUAAACCAGCUCUUUGCUCCACUGCCAUCACUCCCUUGACUUAGGUCUUCAUCAUAUUUAGCCUGCCUUACUUCUGUGAAUUUCGACAUGAAAUACUUCCCUGUAGUGACUUCGCUAUGCAAUCAUUCAACAAUAGAGUAAUCAAGAUGCAAUAAAAACAAGAAUAUGAUCAUGCCAAAACUCAGCUAAAAACCUCUGUGGCUCUCAGGUCCCAUAGACUGUAUUUGAAAUUUUCUUCUCUCUUGCCAGGUUUCGCUAUUCACAUCAAGCAGAUUGUCAUUCCUUAGUUCAGCCAUAAUUUUCCAUGCCUCACAUUUAGUAAAUGUUGUUCCCUUAGCCCGGUAUUUUCUGUAUCUUUCCCUUGGGUGGAAAACUCUCCAUCUCCUCUCUCUGUUCCUGCAGUACAUGAUAAAUGCCUCAAGGAUUGUGCUCACCAUAUUUUAUUACAAUGGUCUAAAAUGCCAGACCUCACUGCUCCACAGAUUCAGAGCUUUAAAUACACCAUAUUUGCUCAAGAAGCAUUCUCAUUAUGUGUGAAUGAAUAAGUAAGUGUCAUGAAUUUCAAAUCUAAGGAAGUGAGAUAAAAAUAAUGUAAAAAUAGGGCCACUAGGAAUAGAAAGUUGUUUAGAGAUGAAGAAGGGUAGACGUCAAUAAUACAACUGCUAAAAUAGCAACCAUAGUUUGUAAAAAUGAGUGAAAUAUAAUUUCAUUUCUAGAACCCCAUGUAGACCUAUUGCAAUACAACUGAUGCUCUGUUAGAAUGGCAAGAAUAACACUAGACACUCAGGGGUU